AAACAGUUUUUAUUGCUUGCCAGUAGUCUAAUACAGAAGUUCCAAUGGUCGGUACACUGCAUUAAUUUUUGAAAUUUUACGAGCUUUUUUUAAUUAAAAGCAUUCAUAACAAUUCAGUUCUAAAAAAAUAUGUUAAAAAUACUAUUUUUCCAUUUGUUUGACAUACAAAAUGCAAGCCGAUAAACUCAGGUGUUGGAUUGGCGUUCAAUUUUAUACUUUGUUCAUUUAUACUUUGUAAUUUAUUUAACAUUGUGUUCUAGCUAGCCUUGAUAGAAAAUGUGUAUGCAUUGAAAAUAUUUUCUAAUUUUCUUGUCAUUCAAUAAAAUUCAAUUGCUGUGAAAA